GGGCCCUCCCGAGGGUCAGCUGCGGGCGGCGGCCGGGGCGCGGCGGGCGCGGGAAGCCAGAGGACGGCUGACUCAUCUUCCUUCCCGCCGCCACAACCCAUGUGACUCACGGUCGAACUCAGCCCACAUCCAGAUUACAGCACCGUGCCUAGAAGAGUGAGUGUCUACAUUUCAUGGAGCUCCAUAGAUAAAUGAAACCUCUCCGCCAAAGAGGCCAGGCAGCCCCAACAGUCCUCAAGGAGAUGGAGAGAGGGACUUCCCUGGCGGUCCAGUGAUUAAGAGUCCGCCAAAAAAAA